rnacentral:rRNA from 1 species
CAGCAGCCGCGGGAAUACGUAGGGGGCAAGCGUUAUCCGGAAUUACUGGGUGUAAAGGGAGCGUAGACGGUUAAACAAGUCUGAAGUGAAAUGCCGGGGCUCAACCCCGGAGCUGCUUUGGGAACUGUAGAACUGGAGUGUCGGAGGGGUAAGCGGAAUUCCCAGUGUAGCGGUGAAAUGCGUAGAUAUUGGGAGGAACACCGGCGGCGAAGGCGGCUUACUGGACGACAACUGACGUUGAGGCUCGAAGGCGUGGGUGGCAAACAGGAUUAGAUACCCGCGUAGUCCCUGUCUCUUAUAA